CACUGCGCGUGCGCCGGAGACGCACCUCGCCUCUCCCACUUAUCGCAGCGGAGUUGGGGGGGGAAGAGCCUGAGGAGGAGAGCGCCGCGCCAGGGGAGAAACAGGUUUCCCCCCCGCCCCCGCUACGAGAUGGUAUCGCCGAGCGCUGAGGGAGAGGCGACUGCGCCUGACGUGCGAACGAAGCGGCCUGCGGAGCUCCUCACGGGAGGAGAUAUGGUGGUGCUGCUGUUGAAGCAGCCGUGGGACUAUGGCUUCAGAGAGUAAGAGUCUUUGGUGGUCAGUGGUGAUCAGUUGCAGGAGAUCACAGCACAUAAAGUUAGGAGUGAAGUGGGCCUUGGCAAAGUAAGUACACAAUCUUUCUUUUAGUUUGCAUAAUCAGUACAUAUUUUUUACAUAUGUACUUUGCACAACAGUACAUAUUUUGGUCUGAAUUACAAUUCUUAUAUAGAAUAUUAUCAAAAAGACAGAAAAUACUAACAAUUAUCUGACUAAAAUUUUAUAAGAAUGCUCUAACAAUAGAUGUUAGAGACAAUCUGAGAAUCACUUUUACUGUCUUGCCACUGAGUGUCACUCUGAUCCUACCUCUCUGCAGCACGGAGGGAACUUUUAAAAGAACUAUUGAGAAAAUUAGAUUGGUUCUGAUGAGUUCAGGUAGCUACAAAGAUACUGUGCAUUGCAGCAAAUAGUAACAGGUGGGCACACACAAUGGGAAAAUUACAGCGACUUACGGAGUCACCGCUCCUCUAACUGGCUACCUCUGUUAAGAGAUACAGGUUGUUAGUGCGCCCCUGGUAAUCCAUCCUGGAAAUAGAUAUUGCUUAGCUGGCCUCUGAGGAUAUUUUUAACCAUUUAUGGUACUACUCUUUCUGCUUUCCACUAAACUGAAACAGCAAAGCAUUGAUCUGAUUCAUGCAUCUCACGGGAGUGAAAACUACAGCUGUAUUUUAAAAAGUAAAACUUGUUCUGGCCUGUAAUUCCAAACUGUUAACAGGAAAAGGGCUGGGGUCCACAUGCUCCUUUUUAACUUA